CUUCCGCCAGUGCGUAAGGGAUAGUAACGGUUAUCCUUUUGUUUUUUUCUGCGAUUCGGAUUAUAUCAGAAAGACAAAUGUUUAUAAAAAAAACAAAAGAUAUGAGUGGAUAGCCCGACCCGCU
rnacentral:sRNA from 1 species